AUGAAUAUCAUGGAGAUGAAAAGAAAUCGGUAACCUUUAAAAAAGAAAGACAAGAUAUAAAAACAAUAACCACUAUAUUGAUUUUCACUUUAUGAAAUAGAGGCGUGACCGAUCUUUUUAACCACUUUUUCUAAAGUAAACGUGAAAAGAGUAUCUAAUUUUGGUGGGAUACGUGCCAACCAAGCCCCUUCAUAGAUUUGCCUCUAUAUGGUAGCCUUUGUAAUGCUAGUCACCACACCUCAACCCAUCUUUGCUAUGCAUCCUCUCUCAAACAUUAUGCAGUAUGCUUGAAAAAAAACACCCAUCUUCUUGCUUGCGUUGGUUAUGAUCAACCAUGUGAUCCUGCUCAAUAUUUAGUAUCAUGGAAACUGUUUUCGUGACUUCGACUAUGAUUCUUACUCAUAGGUGCACAAAUACUACCUUUGAUCAGAUCAUCAGACAGAUUCUGUGAAUAACCAAUACAAGCGAGAGGACUAGUGUUGACAACCAAUUCUUUCAAGCAUGAUGCUCAAGAGGAGUAGCAAAGGUGGGUUAAGGUGUGGUGGCUACCACCACAUAGGCUAGCAUCACCACCACCAAACUAACCACCCCUUUGCAUUUCUGUUCUUCUUCAUCUCCAUCUCACGGCUACUACUAGUCUACUACCAAUAAUACUUUUAUGAGUGCUCCACUGCAAUUCUACGAAGAUGGUUUUAUAGCAGAGUGAAACACCUCAUGGCCACAUAUCUUUCCACUUUCCAGAUAAGGAAUGGAAAAUGUUUCUCCUCUUGCACUUCUCUAGAUCAUUGCGGGUCUACAUAUCUUAUCAUCAGCACUUCAGCAUGUGUUUCAAAUUUUGUGUGAUACAACUAUACAAGAGUUUGUCGAGUUACAUUUCUAUUUUCUUCGUAUAAAUAGGAGCGAGUUUGGUUUCAUAUAGGAAUUAAUAUUUUCUAAAAAAGUAGUAUGUUGUUUGAAGUUUCAUUUUCUAGUAAAUGGUAAAAAGUUGUUUGGUUGA